rnacentral:rRNA from 1 species
GAUGAACGCUGGCGGCGUGCCUAAUACAUGCAAGUCGAGCGAACAGACGAGGAGCUCGCUCCUUUGACGUUAGCGGCGGACGGGUGAGUAACACGUAGGUAACCUACCUAUAAGACUGGGAUAACUUCGGGAAACCGGAGCUAAUACCGGAUAAUAUUUCGAACCGCAUGGUUCGAUAGUGAAAGAUGGCUUUGCUAUCACUUAUAGAUGGACCUGCGCCGUAUUAGCUAGUUGGUAAGGUAACGGCUUACCAAGGCAACGAUACGUAGCCGACCUGAGAGGGUGAUCGGCCACACUGGAACUGAGACACGGUCCAGACUCCUACGGGAGGCAGCAGUAGGGAAUCUUCCGCAAUGGGCGAAAGCCUGACGGAGCAACGCCGCGUGAGUGAUGAAGGUCUUCGGAUCGUAAAACUCUGUUAUUAGGGAAGAACAAACGUGUAAGUAACUGUGCACGUCUUGACGGUACCUAAUCAGAAAGCCACGGCUAACUACGUG